AACUACAGCUCCUUCAUUGGGUUUCUCAUAUCCUUCCCCUUCUUUCAAGAUCUUCUUUACUACUUUCUUGUCAUCAGUAACACUUGAAACAAUUUUCCACGAGACCAACUCCAAGUUGAUUUCUAGUGUAGCAUUAGGUGGGACUGCUCCUCCAUCACUCGAGGCUGGUUUUCCUUUCUCUCCAAAGCCAUCUGCAGCAAAAGAAAUCAGACAUGUUAAUGAGAUCCCUCUUAUUGGAAAACGACUACAAAAGUCACUUAUCGGCAAGCGUCGCUUACAUUGUGGCUUCACUGUCAACUGGACCUUUUCACCUUUCUUCAUAGUUUUCACAGCCUUAGCAAGAGCAGGGCAGAAAUAACCUGUUCCAUUAAGGAUGUUAGAGCACAAACUGCGCUAUUUUACCUAACAACACAUUGCAGGGCAUAUGUGAGACCAACUCCAAGUUGAUUUGCAGUGUAGCAUUAGGUGGGACUGCUCCUCCAUCACUCGAGGCUGGUUUUCCUUUAUCUCCAAAACCAUCUACAGCAAAAGAAAUCAGACAAGUUAAUGAGAUCCCUCUUAUUGGAAAACGACAACAAAAGUCACUAAUCAGCAAGCGUCGCUUACAUUGUGGCUUCACUGUCAACUGGACCUUUUCACCUCUCUUCAUAGUUUUCACAGCCUUAGCAAAUGCAGGGCAGAAAUAAC
rnacentral:lncRNA from 1 species